rnacentral:circRNA from 1 species
GUUUGAUCUGUGGAUGAAAUGAAUCAUGAUUUUCAAGCUCUUGCAUUAGAAUCUCGGGGAAUGGGAGAGCUUUUGCCUACCAAAAAGUUUUGGGAACCUGAUGAUUCAACAAAAGAUGGACAAAAAGGCAUAUUUCUUGGGGAUGAUGAAUGGAGAGAGACUGCAUGGGGAGCUUCUCACCAUUCAAUGUCCCAGCCUAUUAUGGUACAGAGAAGAUCUGGACAGGGUUUUCAUGGAAACAGUGAAGUAAAUGCAAUACUGUCUCCGCGAUCAGAAAGUGGAGGCCUUGGUGUGAGCAUGGUAGAAUAUGUAUUAAGUUCUUCUCCUGCUGAUAAAUUGGAUUCUCGAUUUAGGAAGGGAAAUUUUGGCACUAGAGAUGCUGAAACAGAUGGACCUGAGAAAGGAGAUCAAAAAGGCAAGGCUUCUCCAUUUGAGGAGGACCAAAACAGAGAUCUUAAACAAGGAGAUGAUGAUGAUUCUAAAAUAAAUGGCAGAGGUUUGCCAAAUGGAAUGGAUGCCGAUUGCAAAGAUUUUAAUCGUACUCCUGGAAGUCGUCAAGCCUCUCCAACUGAAGUAGUUGAGCGCUUGGGCCCCAAUACUAAUCCCUCAGAAGGACUGGGGCCUCUUCCUAAUCCUACAGCUAAUAAACCACUUGUUGAAGAAUUUUCAAAUCCUGAAACUCAGAAUCUGGAUGCCAUGGAACAAGUUGGUCUGGAAUCCUUACAGUUUGACUAUCCUGGUAAUCAGGUACCAAUGGACUCUUCAGGAGCUACUGUAGGCCUUUUUGACUACAAUUCCCAGCAGCAGCUCUUUCAGAGGACUAAUGCACUAACAGUUCAACAGUUAACUGCAGCUCAACAGCAGCAAUAUGCAUUAGCAGCAGCUCAGCAGCCACAUAUAG